UUCUAUUUGUUCGAAGUUCCUUUAAUUGGGACCAUAAUCCUAAGAGGGUGCGAGACCCGUACGGACUUUAGUUCAGCUGAUAUCUCUGUAACUCGGAGUCGGGUUGCUUGAAAGUGCAGCCUUAAGCCGGUGAUAAACUUCAUCGAAAGCUAAAUAUUGUAAGGAAUGCGAUAGCAAACAAGUACCGUGAGGGAAAGUUGCAAAGAACUUUGAAGAGAGAGUUCAAGAGAACGUGAAAUCCCUGAAGUUGAAGCAGAACGAGUCGAAAUUGUUAAGCAGUGAAGUGGUUUGGUUAUACCGUCCAUGUAGCUGUGGUACUGCGCUGGUUGCGCUGUCCGAGCUCUCCUGACUAGUCAGUGUUGCCCACCCUUGUGGUGGUGUCUUGCUUUCUGGAAUGGUUUGCCGUGUCAGUGUUUAGCUUGCCCUUUGGGUGAGAACCGGUGUUAAUGUCGAUCACCGUUCUGUCCCGUCUUGAAACACGGACCGAGGAGUGUAACUUGUGCGCGAGUCAGAGGGUG
rnacentral:rRNA from 1 species